rnacentral:rRNA from 1 species
AACGAACGCUGGCGGCAUGCCUAACACAUGCAAGUCGAACGAGACCUUCGGGUCUAGUGGCGCACGGGUGCGUAACGCGUGGGAACCCGCCCUUCAGUUCGGAAUAACUCCCCGAAAGGGGUGCUAACACCGGAUAAUGUCUUCGGACCAACGAUUUAUCGCCUUUGGAUGGGCCCGCGUUGGUUUAGCCUGGUGGUAGGGUAAAAGCCUACCGAGGCGACGAUACAUAGCUGGUCUGAGAGGAUGAUCAGCCACACUGGGACUGAGACACGGCCCAGACUCCUACGGGAGGCAGCAGUGGGGAAUAUUGGACAAUGGGCGAGAGCCUGAUCCAGCAAUGCCGCGGGAGUGAUGAAGGCCUGAGGGUUGUAAAGCUCUUUUACCCGGGAUGAUAAUGACAGUACCGGGAGAAUAAGCUCCGGCUAACUCCGUG